rnacentral:rRNA from 1 species
AUAGCCCACCAAGGCUGUGAUGGGUAGCCGGCCUGACAGGGUGUACGGCCACAUUGGGACUGAGAUACGGCCCAGACUCCUUCGGGAGGCAGCAGUAGGGAAUUUUGCGCAAUGGACGAAAGUCUGACGCAGCAACGCCGCGUGAGUGAUGAAGGUCUUCGGAUUGUAAAGCUCUGUUGAGUGGGAAGAAAAGUUACAGGUCUAAUAUAUCUGUAGCCUGACGGUACCAUUUGAGGAAGCCCCGGCUAACUACGUGCCAGCAGCCGCGGUAAUACGUAGGGGGCGAGCGUUGUUCGGAAUUACUGGGCGUAAAGGGAGCGUAGGCGGGUCACUAAGUUAGAAGUUUAAUGCACAGGCUUAACCUGUGACUUGCUUUUAAUACUGCUGAUCUUGAGUAUGGAAGAGGGAGAUGGAAUUCCAUGUGUAGCGGUGGAAUGCGUAGAUAUCUGGAAGAACACCAUUAGCGAAUGCGGUCUCCUGGUUCAAUACUGACGCUGAGGCUCGAAAGCUAGGGGAGCAAACAGGAUUAGAUACCCUGGUAGUCCUAGCU